rnacentral:rRNA from 1 species
UAGGGAAUCUUGCGCAAUGGGCGAAAGCCUGACGCAGCCAUGCCGCGUGAAUGAUGAAGGUCUUAGGAUUGUAAAAUUCUUUCACCGGGGAAGAUAAUGACGGUACCCGGAGAAGAAGCCCCGGCUAACUUCGUGCCAGCAGCCGCGGUAAUACGAAGGGGGCUAGCGUUGCUCGGAAUUACUGGGCGUAAAGGGCGCGUAGGCGGAUGUUUAAGUCGGGGGUGAAAGCCCGGGGCUCAACCUCGGAAUUGCCUUCGAUACUGGACAUCUUGAGUACGGGAGAGGUNAGUGGAACUCCGAGUGUAGAGGUGAAAUUCGUAGAUAUUCGGAAGAACACCAGUGGCGAAGGCGACUCACUGGCCCGUUACUGACGCUGAGGCGCGAAAGCGUGGGGAGCAAAACAGGAUUAGAUACCCUGGUAGUCCACGCCGUAAACGAUGAGUGCUAGUUGUCGGCAUGCAUGCAUGUCGGUGACGCAGCUAACGCAUUAAGCACUCCGCCUGGGGAGUACGGUCGCAAGAUUAAAACUUAAAUGAAUUGACGGGGGUCAUAGCUGUUUCCU